CAAUAGCGUAUAUUAAAGUUGUUGCGGUUAAAAAGCUCGUAGUUGGAUUUCUGCCGAGGACGACCGGUCCGCCCUCCGGGUGAGUAUCUGGCUCGGCCUGGGCAUCUUCUUGGAGAACGUAGCUGCACUUGGCUGUGUGGUGCGGUAUUCAGGACUUUUACUUUGAGGAAAUUAGAGUGUUUCAAGCAGGCACACGCCUUGAAUACAUUAGCAUGGAAUAAUAAGAUAGGACCUCGGUUCUAUUUUGUUGGUUUCUAGAUCUGAGGUAAUGAUUAAUAGGGAUAGUUGGGGGCAUUCGUAUUUAACUGUCAGAGGUGAAAUUCUUAGAUUUGUUAAAGACGGACUACUGCGAAAGCAUUUGCCAAGGAUGUUUUCAUUGA
rnacentral:rRNA from 1 species